rnacentral:tRNA from 1 species
GGCUGGGUAGCUCAGCAGGUAGAGCGUCUGAAAGUGAAAACCUUUCGGAAGAUCGCAGGUUCAAUUCCUGCCCCGGUCA